AUAAACAAAUUUGUACUGUGAAACUGCGAAUGGCUCAUUAAAUCAGUUAUAGUUUAUUUGAUGAUACCUUGCUACAUGGAUAACUGUGGUAAUUCUAGAGCUAAUACAUGCGUCAAAGCCGCGACUUCUGGAAGCGGUGUAUUUAUUAGAUAAAAAACCAACGCGGUUCGCCGCUCCCUUGGUGAUUCAUAAUAACUUCUCGAAUCGCAUGGCCUUGCGCCGGCGAUGCUUCAUUCAAAUAUCUGCCCUAUCAAGUUUAGAUGGUAGGAUAGAGGCCUACCAUGCUUUCAACGGGUAACGGGGAAUAAGGGUUCGAUUCCGGAGAGGGAGCCUGAGAAACGGCUACCACAUCCAAGGAAGGCAGCAGGCGCGCAAAUUACCCAAUCCCGACACGGGGAGGUAGUGACAAUAAAUAACAAUAUGGGGCUCAUACGGGUCCCAUAAUUGGAAUGAGUACAAUUUAAAUCCCUUAACGAGGAACAAUUGGAGGGCAAGUCUGGUGCCAGCAGCCGCGGUAAUUCCAGCUCCAAUAGCGUAUAUAAAAGUUGUUGCCGUUAAAAAGCUCGUAGUUGAACUUUCAUGGGCUCACGCGGUCUGCCUCACGGCAAGUACUGUGUGGGCUCGUGCUCCUGGGUGGUGAGCCGCCAUGUCGUUUACUCGGUGUGGCGGGGAACCACCUCUGUUACCUUGAGAAAAUUAGAGUGUUCAAAGCAGGCCUAUGCCCGAAUAUAUUAGCAUGGAAUAACGAAAUAGGACGUGCGGUUCUAUUUUGUUGGUUUCUAGAGUCGCCGUAAUGAUUAAUAGGGAUAGUUGGGGGCAUUAGUAUUCAGUUGCUAGAGGUGAAAUUCUUGGAUUUACUGAAGACUAACUACUGCGAAAGCAUUUGCCAAGGAUGUUUUCAUUAAUCAAGAACGAAGGUUAGGGGAUCGAAAACGAUCAGAUACCGUUGUAGUCUUAACAGUAAACUAUGCCGACUAGGGAUCGGACGAACUCAUUUUUAUGUGUCGUUCGGCACCUUACGAGAAAUCAAAGUUUUUGGGUUCGGGGGGGAGUAUGGUCGCAAGGCUGAAACUUAAAGGA
rnacentral:rRNA from 1 species